CUUCCUUGUAAUAUUAAGCGCGGAAGACUUGGCUGAACAGCAACGAGCAGACCCGGAGCUAAAAAGCCUCGUCGAGUAUUUCGAAGGCAACGACGACGUUGUCCCCAGGGCUUUCAGGCGAGGAUUGUCUUCGUUUUCGC
rnacentral:lncRNA from 1 species